rnacentral:rRNA from 1 species
GUAGGUGGCAAGCGUUGUCCGGAAUUAUUGGGGCGUAAAGCGCGCGCAGGCGGUUCUUUAAGUCUGAUGUGAAAGCCCACGGGCUCAACCGUGGAGGGUCAUUGGAAACUGGAGAACUUGAGUACAGAAGAGGAAAGCGGAAUUCCACGUGUAGCGGUGAAAUGCGUAGAGAUGUGGAGGAACACCAGUGGCGAAGGCGGCUUUCUGGUCUGUAACUGACGCUGAGGCGCGAAAGCGUGGGGAGCAAACAGGAUUAGAUACCCUGGUAGUCCACGCCGUAAACGAUGAGUGCUAAGUGUUAGGGGGUUUCCGCCCCUUAGUGCUGCAGCUAACGCAUUAAGCACUCCGCCUGGGGAGUACGGCCGCAUGGCUG